rnacentral:rRNA from 1 species
AUUGAACGCUGGCGGCAGGCCUAACACAUGCAAGUCGAACGGCAGCGGGGGGAAGCUUGCUUCCCCGCCGGCGAGUGGCGGACGGGUGAGUAAUGCCUGGGGAGCUGCCCAAUCGAGGGGGAUACCAGUUGGAAACGACUGCUAAUACCGCAUACGCCUCGAGGGGGAAAGAUGGGGAUCUUCGGACCUAUCGCGAUUGGAUGCACCCAGGUGGGAUUAGCUAGUUGGUGAGGUAACGGCUCACCAAGGCGACGAUCUCUAGCUGGUCUGAGAGGAUGACCAGCCACACUGGAACUGAGACACGGUCCAGACUCCUACGGGAGGCAGCAGUGGGGAAUAUUGCACAAUGGGGGAAACCCUGAUGCAGCCAUGCCGCGUGUGUGAAGAAGGCCUUCGGGUUGUAAAGCACUUUCAGUGGGGAGGAAAGGGGUAAUGCUAAUACCAUUGCCCUGUGGCGUUACCCACAGAAGAAGCACCGGCUAACUCCGUGCCAGCCGCCGCAGUAA